rnacentral:rRNA from 1 species
UACGUAGGGUGCAAGCGUUAAUCGGAAUUACUGGGCGUAAAGCGUGCGCAGGCGGUUUUGCAAGUCAGAUGUGAAAUCCCCGGGCUUAACCUGGGAACUGCGUUUGAAACUACAAGGCUAGAAUGUGGCAGAGGGGGGUGGAAUUCCACGUGUAGCAGUGAAAUGCGUAGAGAUGUGGAGGAACACCGAUGGCGAAGGCAGCCCCCUGGGUUAACACUGACGCUCAGGCACGAAAGCGUGGGGAGCAAACAGG